GAUGAACGCUGGCGGCGUGCCUAAUACAUGCAAGUCGAGCGAACGGAUUAGAAGCUUGCUUCUAUGACGUUAGCGGCGGACGGGUGAGUAACACGUGGGCAACCUGCCUGUAAGACUGGGAUAACUUCGGGAAACCGAAGCUAAUACCGGAUAGGAUCUUCUCCUUCAUGGGAGAUGAUUGAAAGAUGGUUUCGGCUAUCACUUACAGAUGGGCCCGCGGUGCAUUAGCUAGUUGGUGAGGUAACGGCUCACCAAGGCAACGAUGCAUAACCGACCUGGGAGGGUGAUCGGCCACACUGGGACUGAGACACGGCCCAGACUCCUACGGGAGGCAGCAGUAGGGAAUCUUCCGCAAUGGACGAAAGUCUGACGGAGCAACGCCGCGUGAGUGAUGAAGGCUUUCGGGUCGUAAAACUCUGUUGUUAGGGAAGAACAAGUACGAGAGUAACUGCUCGUACCUUGACGGUACCUAACCAGAAAGCCACGGCUAACUACGUGCCAGCCGCCGCAGUAACAC
rnacentral:rRNA from 1 species